UACGGGGGGAGCAAGCGUUGUUCGGAUCUACUGGGCGUAAAGGGCGCGUAGGCGGCGCAACAAGUCACUUGUGAAAUCUCCGGGCUUAACUCGGAGCGGCCAAGUGAUACUGUCGUGCUAGAGUGCGGAAGGGGCUACUGGAAUUCUCGGUGUAGCGGUGAAAUGCGUAGAUAUCGAGAGGAACACCUGCGGCGAAGGCGGGUAGCUGGGCCGACACUGACGCUGAGGCGCGAAAGCCAGGGGAGCGAACGGA
rnacentral:rRNA from 1 species